rnacentral:misc_RNA from 1 species
CAGCCGCGUAAUUCCAGCUCCAAUAGCGUAUAUUAAAGUUGUUGCAGUUAAAAAGCUCGUAGUUGAAUUUCGGGAUUGACACAUCGGUCGUGCCUUAAGGGGUAUGAACUGGUGUAGUCAAUUUCUCACCUUCUGGAGAACCACGAUGCCCUUAAUUGGGUGUCGCGGGGAACCAGGACCUUUACUUUGAAAAAAUUAGAGUGUUUAAAGCAGGCAUUUUGCUUGAAUACAUUAGCAUGGAAUAAUAAAAUAGGACGGCAUGAUUCUAUUUUGUUGGUUUCUAGGAUCACCGUAAUGAUUAAUAGGGAUAGUUGGGGGCAUUAGUAUUCAAUUGUCAGAGGUGAAAUUCUUGGAUUUAUUGAAGACUAACUACUGCGAAAGCAUUUGCCAAGGAUGUUUUCAUUAAUCAAGAACGAAAGUUAGGGGAUCGAAGACGAUCAGAUACCGUCGUAGUCUUAACCAUAAACUAUGCCGACUAGGAAUCAGACGAUGUUAAUUUUUUAAUGACUCGUUUGGCACCUUACG